UUAACGCGAAGAACCUUACCAAGGCUUGACAUGCACCGGAAACACUCAGAGAUGGGUGCCCCGUAAGGUCGGUGCACAGGUGGUGCAUGGUUGUCGUCAGCUCGUGUCGUGAGAUGUUGAGUUAAGUCCCGCAACGAGCGCAACCCUCGUCCUAUGUUGCCAGCGGGUUAUGCCGGGGACUCAUGGGAGACUGCCGGGGUCAACUCGGAGGAAGGUGGGGAUGACGUCAAAUCAUCAUGCCCCUUAUGUCUUGGGCUUCACGCAUGCUACAAUGGCCGGUACAGAGGGCUGCGAUACCGUAAGGUGGAGCGAAUCCCAAAAAGCCGGUCUCAGUUCGGAUUGGGGUCUGCAACUCGACCCCAUGAAGUCGGAGUCGCUAGUAAUCGCAGAUCAGCAACGCUGCGGUGAAUACGUUCCCGGGCCUUGUACACACCGAA
rnacentral:rRNA from 1 species